rfam:Kluyvera intermedia strain CAV1151, complete genome.
GCUAUUAUGCCAGGGCCAGCUUCUGUUAUUCAUUUCCAAAACAGAUGCGGUGUGCGUAAUUACGUGCAUGAAUAAUCAUCAGAAGUCA